rfam:Beta vulgaris subsp. vulgaris Bvchr8.sca018.con0287.1, whole genome shotgun sequence.
CCGACCUUAGCUCAGCUGGUAGAGCGGAGGACUGUAGUUAGUCAAGCAGAUGAUCCUUAGGUCACUGGUUCAAAUCCGGCAGGUCGGA